GAACACAAACAGAAAAUCCAGUUACCCCUGACACUCCAGUGCUGCUGGCCUGUCCCCAUGGCUGGGUCGGGCACCGCGGGAUCUGCUACUUCCUCUCGAGGGAUCAGCUCAGCUGGGAUCAGGCUCAGGCUCGGUGCUCUGAGCUCGGGGCCUCGCUGGCCGUGCUCCAGGACUGGGAAAUGGAGUUCCUCUUCAUUCACAGCGCAAAGAUCGAUCACUGGCUCGGGCUGCGCAGACGGGGCCGGGAGCUGCAGUGGGGGGACGGCAGCAGCUUCAACUCCUCGGUUCCUGUCCUGGGCAAUGGAGGGUGCCUGUUCCUGGCUGAGGACAAUUACCUCAGGAGCGCUCCCUGCUCCAAUCCGUUGCUCUACGUCUGCAGCAGACCCCAAACUCGCCUGUGAUAGAGGGGGAAGGAAGGGCCUUCUCUG